rnacentral:lncRNA from 10 species
UUGUUCAGGCCACCCUACUCCAAACUAUUUAUUGCCAUGAGUCCCUUCAUUAUCUUUAACCACCAUAAACCCCCUAAUGUGAAAGACUGAGUCUGCCAAAUGAAUUAGGUUUUGCCGACAGCUCAGACCGUGGAGUUCCGUAAGCCUGCGGUGAGAGCUAAGUCUAAUCUAUGGGGGGUUCUCAGUAGGAUGUUUGACAUGUUGGAAACCACUUGGGGACCCCUCUGCUUUCUGCUGGACUCAACUUAGGCUGGCAGCUGUUGAUCCUGUGCUGUCACCUCCACCCCUCCCGCCGGUGCCCAUGCCUCGGGAGCCAUGAUGGAGAGAGGUCAGCAGGAAGGGGAGUGAAGUAGUGGGAAAGGCCUGGCCUGGGAAGCUGGGGAGGGGUGUGGUCCCAGAACAUAAGGAGGGGGAAGACUAGGAGAGGUGUCAUAUCAGGGGACUUCCUGGAGCUGUGGAUUUGCUAAUGCUGCCCUCUCUUCACUCUAAGGCCCUGUCUGUGACAUCAAGUGACCUCCCUAUAUUAGACUCUUGUGUGCAGAAAAGGCUAUACCUUUGUAGCCAAGGAAAACCCAUUUCAGUGGGCAGGAACCCACAUCAGAGUCCGCAGGUAAGCACCCCUAGUAAGGCUAAAUGAGGAAUAGAUUGGAAGAUCCAAGAGAUCUGGAAAAGGGGGCCUUUUAUGAACCUUAGACGCAGGAACUGCCAUUGCCCAAACCCAGCUCCAAACCCAGCUCAGCAGGAUGGGGCCUCCCCAUACUCCACCCCAAAGCCUGCAGUGGAAACCUCAGAACUGACCUUCCAGAUUGACCAAGUUGGUAGUCUUAGCUCUAGAUUGCACCUGAGGAAACUGAGGUACCUAGAAGUCAAGUAAUUUGUUCAGCAUUACAUGCUGGACUCUACGUCC